rnacentral:rRNA from 1 species
UUCCGUAGGUGAACCUGCGGAGGGAUCAUUACUGAGUUACCGCUCAUCAACCCUUUGUGAACAUACCUUAACUGUUGCUUCGGCGGGUAGGCGUCCCCUAAAAAGGACGUCUCCCGGCCCUCUCCCGUCCGCGGGUGGGGCGCCCGCCGGAGGAUAACCAAACUCUGAUUUAACGACGUUUCUUCUGAGUGACACAAGCAAAUAAUCAAAACUUUUAACAACGGAUCUCUUGGUUCUGGCAUCGAUGAAGAACGCAGCGAAAUGCGAUAAGUAAUGUGAAUUGCAGAAUUCAGUGAAUCAUCGAAUCUUUGAACGCACAUUGCGCCCGCCAGCAUUCUGGCGGGCAUGCCUGUUCGAGCGUCAUUUCAACCCUCAAGCUCUGCUUGGUGUUGGGGCUCUACGGUUGACGUAGGCCCUUAAAGGUAGUGGCGGACCCUCUCGGAGCCUCCUUUGCGUAGUAACAUUUCGUCUCGCAUUGGGAUUCGGAGGGACUCUAGCCGUAAAACCCCCAAUUUUACUAAGGUUGACCUCGGAUCAGGUAGGAAUACCCGCUGAACUUAAGCAUAUCAAUAAGCGGAGGA